UAAGCUUGAAUCUGCACGGAAUCUGCCUCUGCAUGUGAAUGCCUACAUCAACCAAGGGGAAGUGAAUUGGUCUCCUUGUUCCUGUGGCAGCCAUGGACCCCUAUGAUUGGGUGGUCCUCUAGAGGCACUGACACUGAGCCUGAAGGGAAGCUCCCAUCUCUGAUCCAUGAGUGCCUCCAGCCUGGCAGGACCUGGCUCUUCUGG
rnacentral:lncRNA from 1 species